rnacentral:rRNA from 1 species
GACGAACGCUGGCGGCGUGCUUAACACAUGCAAGUCGAACGGAAAGGCCCUGCUUUUGUGGGGUGCUCGAGUGGCGAACGGGUGAGUAACACGUGAGUAACCUGCCCUUGACUUUGGGAUAACUUCAGGAAACUGGGGCUAAUACCGGAUAGGAGCUCCUGCUGCAUGGGGGGGGUUGGAAAGUUUCGGCGGUUGGGGAUGGACUCGCGGCUUAUCAGCUUGUUGGGGGGGUAGUGGCUUACCAAGGCUUUGACGGGUAGCCGGCCUGGGAGGGUGACCGGCGACCUUGGGACUGAGAGACGGCCCAGACUCCUACGGGAGGCAGCAGUGGGGAAUAUUGCACAAUGGGCGGAAGCCUGAUGCAGCAACGCCGCGUGCGGGAUGACGGCUUUCGGGUUGUAAACCGCUUUCGCCUGUGACGAAGCGUGAGUGACGGUAAUGGGUAAAGAAGCACCGGCUAACUACGUG